ensembl:lncRNA
GCCAAUCACAGAGCGCCUCGGCGGCUACAGCCUACGGGCCCAUGGCGCUGCCAAGCUUGAGGACGCCGGGAGGGCGGGUCUGGCCCGCCCACUGCGAAAGUUUCCGAGCUAACUCGGGCCGUGCUGCCCAGACUGAACCCUUGCACGCCACGGCACACCCACAAGGCGUCCGGGUUGCUGUGCCCGGCUGCAAGCCCACGGGCGAGGCUCAAGACGACCUUUCACCCACUACUCUGGCCCCAGGCUCCCCAACUUCAGAUUUAUUAUCACUGCUCUUGCAAUAUUAACUGACACGCUCAGAGGGCUGGAGGCUGACCCGAAUGGCUCCUGCAGCCCACCGUUGAGAACCAGCAGCCCUCCUUGCACCUGCAAGCCUGGGAGCAGAGACGCCUCCUCCAGCAUCUCGACAGGACUUUUCCAAUUCAUUCGUCACUGUCCACAAGAACAUAAGAGGCUUGUCAUCCACUCCCACUGGCUGGCCACUGCCUAGGAGACCACCAUCAAGUAGAGGACAAAACCUUUGAAAGGACCCAAUAAAUAGAGGGAAGAAGACAGGGUAAACAGUUCCUCCUGGGAAAGAAAGAGAGAAAAUGAAUCACAGUCAGAGCACAGAAACAUUUAACAUAUGCCGUGGGCUUCCCUAGUGGCUCAGACGGUAAAGGAUCCCCCUGUAAUGCGGGAGACCUGGGUUCAAUCCCUGGGUUGGGAAGAUUUCCUGGAGAAAGGCAUGGCAACCCACUCUAGCAUUCUGGCGUGGGGGUCCCCAUGGACAGAAGAGUCUGGCAGGCUACAGUCUAUGGG